rnacentral:tRNA from 1 species
GGGCGUAUAGCUCAGACGGUUAGAGCGCAUCCCUGAUAAGGAUGAGGUCCGUGGUUCAAGUCCACGUACGCCCACCC